GAUGAACGCUGGCGGCGUGCUUAACACAUGCAAGUCGAACGGGAAUUAUUUUAUUGAAUCUUCGGUCGAUUUAAUUUAAUUCUAGUGGCGGACGGGUGAGUAACGCGUGGGUAACCUGCCUUAUACAGGGGGAUAACAGUCAGAAAUGGCUGCUAAUACCGCAUAAGCGCACAGAGCUGCAUGGCUCAGUGUGAAAAACUCCGGUGGUAUAAGAUGGACCCGCGUUGGAUUAGCUGGUUGGUGGGGUAACGGCCCACCAAGGCGACGAUCCAUAGCCGGCCUGAGAGGGUGAACGGCCACAUUGGGACUGAGACACGGCCCAGACUCCUACGGGAGGCAGCAGUGGGGAAUAUUGCACAAUGGGGGAAACCCUGAUGCAGCGACGCCGCGUGAAGGAAGAAGUAUCUCGGUAUGUAAACUUCUAUCAGCAGGGAAGAUAGUGACGGUACCUGACUAAGAAGCCCCGGCUAACUACGUG
rnacentral:rRNA from 1 species